UAUAUCUAUACCACCGUGCGAAUUUGCGUUACUUAGUUGAUGGGGGUUUUGAAAAUUGCCAAAUUUCACGUUACGUAAUAUACGAAUAUUCUUUACGAGGACUCUAAACGAGAUGGUAAUUAGAGACUUGAAACAAAAGAUGCGACUCUCACUUUAUGUAACUCAUUUAAAGGGAGUAACUUACUGAAAAACAAUAAAGGAACAGUUCUACAAUUAUCUAUGCCGGUAUCUGAGUCAGCAGCUAGGGGCAAGACACUGCGUAACCCAAUAGGUGAUUAGUAAUCCUAACAAAAAGAAACAACCGGUGUCAUCUUGCAACCUGGAUAGCUCAACCCAACGAGUGGAAGUCCUUCACUAGUUGGGCUACGAAUUUAGUGCAACGAGCGAAAUUCAAUUAUAUUCAUUGUUGCUAAGUGUUUAUCGUUGCAUUUUUAGACACUCCUCUAGUUACAUCAAAACUCUUUGAAGUCAUAUUAUCGUCGUUGUGAUGUUGUUGUAUAGAAACAUAGAAAAACGGUAUGUCAAAAGUACAACCGACUAUAUUACAAAAAAAUGACAAAGACUAAAGUUAUUUAUUAAAACAACCAAAAUUCAUCGCAACUUAUAAUAUACUAUUUCGAUGCAUUCAAAUUAUAAAUCCGGUAAAGCUACAUACCUUGCUACUGAUAUUCAUUCAUUUUAGAAGCAAUUCACAACUUGAAACACAUGAAUUUGCGAUUUUCAUUUGCUUUGUUAGUAAGAAUCUAUUAACAAGUAGAAAAAAAUAUUUGCUGUCGCUUGGUGAUGCUUCGUCUCCAACCGUACAAAACAAAAAAACGCUUCCCCGCUCGUGCCUACUUGUUGAUCAAACCGUUUCACCAUGUCCUAUACGCUGUGGUUGGGAAGUUAAUGUGAUAAAUAAAUGAUAGAUAUUAAUAUAUAUAUCAACCAAUAUCGUGUAAUAUUACCGAAAUAUUUUUCAUGAUAUAAAGUUGUCAAGCCCCUAGAAAUAAUGUGUUUUCCUUCUUACAGACGCUUAGCAAGGUUAACCUGUAGUGUUUUCGCCGACAGAUUUAUACCAGUGCGUUUGAUUGAUUUCGAUAAAAUUAGUAUAAAUUCUGUUUAUUUUCCGUGUAAAAAGCAUUCGUUCCACCCCUAGGGAGCGCUGCAAAAUGCACUGUGCACUUAGCAGUUUUCGUAUCACAGAUGACCUUCCGUUCUGUGGUUUCAGCUCAACAAUGAUUCAAUAAAAUCAAAUUCAGUUUCGCUUCACAAUCAAAUAUUACCCAAAAUAUUGCUAAAUAGCAGCGAAAAUAAUUUUGACCUGGUUUCCACUCGAGUUACUCCUCUGUAGAACGGUUAAAAAAGCUAUAAUUUUUUCAUUUUUCCAGUUAAAGUUUAGAGAAAUUUUUCUUCGCUUCUGUCGACCAGUGCAGUACUAUCAAUAACCAAUUGUCAAUUGAAAACGACCGUGCUUACUCUACUGAUUUUGAUGCUGUUAACGGACAAUCUGCUGUUGCUAUGCCAUGCCAAGACGUGUCAAAAUCGGCUAAAAAAUGAAUUUGUAUUGCAAAAUUUCAGCUCAAUUGGAUAUUUUCACGCUCGUAUAGUGAUCAAAGGUUUAUUUUUUUGACCGAUGAAAAAAUUCGAAGCUCAAUUCGUUCCUAUACAUUCCAUUGGCACCGUAAUCGAUCGGCUGCAUCAUGAAGAGUUGGUUAUAUGUGCAAGUUUAUGCAAGUGUUAGCUUUGCAAUUUCCCUAUUCAAUGUUUUACAGGGUUAGGGUCCUUAGAUAACAUUAGGAAAUCUGGGAAAAGUGUUCAUUAGUUUAGGAAAAAAUAUUUUUUUCUCAUGAAACAAUAAGUAACUCAUCGGAAAACAGUAUUAAACUACGCUUUAGCGCAUAUUUUUUAAAUUUUUAAUUGGCAGAGCAAAAACAGCUUUUUCCUUUGUGUUGGAUUCGAUUCUCUUUGCUUUAAAUUGGAAAUGCUCUCUAGUGUCUUUUAUCUCUGCUUUUUUAUACUGAGAGGCCUCCUGAAUUGUUGAAUUGUCAUCACCGCUUUAGUUUUAUCGGUUUAUCAACGUUUUUCAUAUUUUAGCGUAAUGUUGUUAUGCAAAUAUUUAUUUUAAUUUCUUGAAAAAUUCCACAUGAUUUUUGGAAAAAAACUGUUCCCUUUUGAACGAUUUAUGCAAGACAACGUUUUUCAAGUUUUUAAGUCACUUUUGGUCACUUUUUUAAAGCUUUGAAGUCACUUUUUGGUCACUUUUUUCGAAAUUUUGGUCACUAAAGUCACUUUUUCUUACCAGUUUGACCACUUUCAGCCCUGAUUGUUGGUGAAAAUUUGACCUUGAAACUUUUAUUUAAUUUUCACUGUUUAACAAUGAAGUGAUAACGAAAAUUGAAGAAUCACAAAAUUGCCCAUCAUUUUAUCAAUCCAACGACAUAUUGAUUAUAGUUAUCCAUCAUGUGGUUACAUCAGUAAAACCGUUCGAAAUCUUUCAUUCCGACGUUACACAUUGGUUUUAGUUUCCGCAGAAUGUAUCUCGAUUCUCGAUAUAGUGCGAUUAGACGUAGUCCUACGUCAAAAUAUAUCGUCGGUUUCUUGCAACACAAGCACAACUCAAAAAUCUUAGUUUCCUGAAAAAUGUGUUUGAAAAUUAGCGUCGAAAAUUUCUUUUAAAAUAUUCAAGAAAACUUUCAAUUCUAAAAUUUCCAAUUCUCAUUCAACACUUCUGGGUCUAUAAGGCACACAUUAUGAGCACGUUGUAUAAGCUAAAGCCUUAUUUUUACUACUUCUAUAAAGACAUUCCGAGUUGUGCAGCAGAGGCACUUCUACUCAUAGCUCUAAAAUAUUUCUGAAUUUCAAAACGAGAUCUCGUGGUAUGAAGCUUUAACAUCGUUUUCCAUCAAAAACUCGAAAAUACAAAAUUUUGAGUUUUGCCAGUGUUGCAUAAAACAGAGUAAAAUGAAUUUUUGCGUAUUUUCAGGUCAUUUGGCAUUGACUUGCUCAUAACAAUACUCAUUUGUUCUAAGUCUUCAUUUUUUUAUAAAAACCAAUAAAAAGGUACAUAAAUUCCAAUAGCAUAUUAACUGUGAACAACAAAGUAUUCAAAGUUCUUCAAUUAAACAUAGUUCUUAUACCCACAAAAUUUCGUUGGGCCCUAAGAGGCUAGGUCCAUUCCGUUACGUCAAUUAGGUUUGAAAUCUUGAAAAUAGUAAUAGCGUGUUCGUUCAUAUAUAUUUAUAAGAAGAUAAGAUUAUUUCUAAAAUUGCUUACCAGUGCUGCAAUAUAAUGUAAUUAAACGAUUGAAACAACGUUAUUACUCAACUACUGAAAGUUAAAAUUGUAUUUGCAUAAACUCCAACUUGGUUUAGGCACUACAUUUAUAACCUAAUUGUUUAGUAUCACAUUAGAACGCCCUUUUUCUGUUCAUCAAACCAAAAGGACACCUUCAGCAAAUAUAUUAAAUACCAAUAUAGUUCACUUACGUGAAAUUAUGAAGACAAAUUAAAAAUGACAGAAGCGUUAGUCACCUUUUCGACCGCUAGGUGCGCCACUUCUGAUUUUGUUCUACACGACAUGCGAAAUAGAUUCACUUUUGACAAUAAUAUUACCCUAAUGGGUACACUGAAAAAAAUUCACAUUUAAUUGUGAAGGGGACUCGGCCGAAUAUUUUAUAAUAAUAAAGUUCGCCUAUGCAUAAGGCAAUCCAUGGGUUGUGUUCCACGGUUUGUACGACCUCCGACAAUAUUUUGAGUUGUAAAAUGGCGACUUCCGGUGACUGGGAAACUGCCGAAAAUGACCAAAUACCCCCUAAUAUGGGUGUUUUUUUUUUAACCAGAAUGACGCUCAGAGGCUAGAAAUUGUCUCGAAAUGCUGUCCAAGAUGGCGACUUCCGGUUUUUGGAAAAUCAGACAAAAUUUUGAAUUGUAAGAUGGCGACUUCCAGUGAUUGGAAAAAAGAGGAAAAUGACCAAAUACCACCAAUAUGGAUGUUUCUUUAACUAGAAUGACGCUCAGAGGCCAGAAAUUGUCUCUGAAUACCAUUUUGAAAUCCAAGAUGGCGACUUCCGGUUUCCGAGAAGCAGCGAGAUAUGACCAAAUACCAUCCAAUAUGGGUAUUUCCGAAAUCGUGAUGAUGCACUGAAACCACAAAUCGACCUCAGACAACAUUUUGAGUAGUAAAUUGGCGACUUUUGGUGACUGGAAAACUGCCGAAAAUGACCCAAAAACAACCAAAUAUGGGUGUUUCUUUAACCAGAAUGAUGCUCAGAGGCCAGAAAUUGUCUCCAAAUGCCAUUUUGAAAUCCAAUAUGGCGACUUCCGGUUCCUAAACAACAGUAGCAAAAGACCAAAUAACACUCAUUAUGGGUAUUUCCGGGAUUGUUAUGAUGCACUGAAGCUACAAAUCGACUUCAGAUAACAUUAUGAAUUGUAAAAUGACGACUUCCGGUGAAUGGGAAACUGCCGAAAAUAACCAAAUAACACCCAAUAUGGGUAUUUCUUCAACCGGCCGAUUUCCAAUAUGAGAUGUUUCGAUACCAGAAUGAUACACAGGAGCUAGAAUCGACCACAGACAACAUUUUGAAUUCUAAGAUGGUUUCUGUAGAACAGCCGAAAAUGACUAAAUAACACCUAUUAUUGGUGUUUCUUAAACCAGAAUGACGCUCAGGGGCCAGAAAUUGUCUCCAAAAAAAAUAGCCUAAAGGGACCAAAUACCACCCAAUAUGAGUGUUUCUUUAACCAGAAUGAUGCAUGGAGCUAAAAAUUGACCUCAGACACCAUUUUGAAUUGUAAGAUGGCAACUUCUGGGAAACAGCCGAAUACUACUGCAUAUGAAUAUUUCCGUAAUCGAAAUAAUGUAUAGAAGCCAAGCAUUGACCCUGGACACCAUAUUGAAUUCGAAGAUGACCACUUUCAGUUUCUGGAAAACAACGAAAAUAACUGAAUACCACCCAAUAUGAGUGUUUUCGGAAUAGAGGUGAUGUACUAAAGGCAAAAGUCGAGGAUGUUGUCAUUCCGAUAAAACCAAUAAUUUCAAACGAUAUAAACAAAUCGCAAGAAAUCAAUGAAUUUGGAAUGUUGAAAAUUAUUGAAUUAAACAGAAAAAUAGGCGGGACGAAGUUUGCCGGGUCAGCUAGUAAAUACAUAAAUAUGCUGGUUAAAGCAAAGCUGCAAGUGAUGAAUACGAAGAUUAGAACUCGAGAGCAAAAAAUUCGGAGGGAUAAAAAAAAACAAAAAAUACUUUCAAAACGAAGAAAACUAAACAUUAAAUAAUAGUUUUUGCAUAACAGUUGUUAUCACUAAUUAUGUUUGUUUUGUUGAAUAUCUUUUAUAUAUAAUAUAAUAAAGCUUUUAAACCAAUUACAA